GCUGCAAUGGCUCUGGGUAGGCAGAGCAGAAUUGCAGUGACUUUGGGAAAUCAGCUGGCCUGGGGAAAUUGUUUACAGCAACAAAAAUUGGGGAUAGGGUGGGGGGAGACACAGAAGCCUCAGACUGUUACUGUCCCUCCCUGCUAAUCAUGUAAGUUCCCUGUUCAUGAAAGUGUGCAACUCAGAAAUUUUCCAGGGCACUCCCAAGCGUGAAGACAGUGCCUUUCUGUCUUCACAGCCUGAGAAUGGGGCUACAGAAGUGUGGAAGCAUUGCUGUUCAGCCUUAGCUUUCUUCCCAUCAUAAAACAACAACAAACCCUCACCCUGUUUCGUUCCAUUUUUAACAAUUGAGGAGUUAAUGAUCCUUUUAAGCAGAUGGCAAGAGAACAACCCACCCUUCCCCCCAAAUUUGUUAUCUAAAGUUCCCUCUUAUGUAGAAUGGUGUAUUGGAAGGUUUUUAAAAUAUAUAUUAGAAUAUAAAUACGUGAUGUCUUGAAAACACAGUCUGUGCGAUUUACUGCAUCAUUCUGCAGAUUAAUGGAAUAUAUAUAUAUGUAUAUGGAAUCUAAUCAUCUAUGGCUCUGCAUUAAUAUUUCAUGUUUCUGCACAAUACCUUUCUCUGUAAGAGGGGAAAUAUUUCAAUGAAAUGAACAAUGUUUAGAUUAAAAAUAAAAAUUGCAUCACUUACCACAGUCUCAAAGCACCUUGCCUUUUGUGCAACAGGAUUUGUUCUCCUAAAGCUAUAUUUUCUUCCAGAGCUCUAUUCCUCCUUCUUCUUUGUGUAUGGCUAACACAAUCCUUUAAGAAUAGCAACUUCUACAGGCAGGGGGCAGAUAUUAAGAUGAUUAACAUGACUGUACCAUAAUUGUGUUAUACAGUGAAUACUGCCCUGUAUGUUCUAAUCACAUCUGGAUAUGUGGUUGUACCUUGGAAAGUCCAUUUGAUAGGUAUCUGUAUUCACCCUAAACCUGCUGAGGUUUACCAGUUCACCUGGUGCCUUGUUAGGUCAAAUGAUUAGCACUAUCACACUCUUAGGUGGAGCUGUGGCUGUUUGUGUGAGUUCAGAAGCUUAAUUACACCCAAAUCAUUUUUGUUAAGUGGCCACCAAUUCAAAAUAAAGUUGGAGCUUACACAAAUAUGAUGGAUAUGCAGGUUCUGCCAAUUGCAGUUGUUUUUCCCUAAUUAAGAAUGGAAGAUUCGGUCAAUUUCUGUUCUCUCCAUUUAUUGUUUUCCCAGUCUUAAAUUUAGUUCACAUUUCUGCAGCAAUUUGUGAAUUGUUUUUUUAAAUCACUCAGGAAAAUUCAUCAGCAUUUUUGUAUACAGUUUUGACCAACGUGCCCAUUUUUGUAAGCAAUUUAUCCCAAUAUAACACAUUUUUGUGUAUUUCCCAAAUAUAUUCAUUUUUCUGCACAAUUCUACCUACUCUGUGCAUUUUUGUAAAUGUUGGUAGAUUGGAGAAAUUUGGAUAAGUGCAAAUUUCAAAGGAUGGCUGCGUUUCAGGUCUCAUGUUCUCGAAAGUGAACAUUUGCUAAAUUUGGCUUUAAUGCUAAAUGAAUCAAAUUUCUCCCCCACCCCUCAUGUUGAUUGGCCAGGUAUAUUCAUAGGCUGGAAGAUGAAACAAAAUGUAUCUCACUGAGGGAUACUCUAAGAGUUAUUGGUACCAUUUCCCAUUUUGGCUGCUCUUGACAUCUUGUUUAGGACGUAAUACUGUGUACACUUGACUUGGAGAACAGAUCUGUUUACAGCACUGACCUUUCCUUCACUCUUCCUAUUGUUGCCAUUCCCUAAUUGCUUAUGCUGAAGCAUUUAGUUCAAAAAUAGAAACCACAUCCACGAGACCCCUCGUUUUGUUGUGAUUCACUGUAAUAAUUGUUAGCAUGAAAUUUAUUCCCACUCCAAUGUGGUGUCUAAUUGAAUCUCUCAUUGAUUACAAUCAUUCAUUUGACUUCACUAUAUUGUUUGACAGGCUCUUAAUGCUCUGCUACUUCCAAGUACUGAAGUACUCAGUGUUAUCUAGCAAUUAAUUUAGCGAUCCAAGUUAGCAUGCACAUUAAUUAUAAUGUCAUAUACUUUUUGAUGUCGUUGCAAAGCAUGAGUGGCCACUAUCUUGUUAUUAGAAUAAAAAUGACUUCUCAUAACCGUACCAAGUUUGGUUUCCUAAUACACGUAACAUUUUUUUUCACUUACUCUAAAGGUAGUCAUUGACUACAACUAUUAGAAAUUGGGAAAGUGAUACAUUUCAUUUACAGUGUAUUUGUUGCUGCUGCUGCUGAAUGAUUCUGUGACAUUUUAGCCAUUUUCAUCUAUUGUAGCAAAAACUAUUGCAGCUAGUUUUUGUACUUGCAAAGAGGUGUUUCUCUAUCCCAGCCCCCUUGAAACGAGUAGACAGAAAAAAAUUAAGUCCCCCACAUGAAAUCUGAAGGGGUCCUAUCACUUGUUAGUAGAAAGGAAAAUUUAUUCUGCCAGAGAAUGCCCCAUUCACCCACUGCUCUCUACUCUACCUCCCCUCCUGUCAUCUACUCCUACUCAAGCAGAAAACUCUCAGCAUUACUCUUUUGUCUAAAAUUCUAGUUAUUUGCCAGGCACACCAUUAGCAAACAAGCGAGAUUCUCUUUCCUUUCACCUGAAUGUGCUCCUUUUCCCUGUCUCAUCCUCUCUCUCCGGCUUUGUGCUCAAGGCAACCCGAAGCCCAAUGCUGGACAUCGCAAAUGAUGCUUUUAGGUGGUGCAGAAAAUAAGAAUAAAAAGAACAAUUAAAGGAGACAAACAAGCCUCCUAGCAAAGCGAAGAGUGUGAAGCAGAGAAAGAGAAUGUCUUCAGGGGAAAUGUGGGAGGAAUUUUGAUUCUGCACUAAGUAUGGCUCUAUUAUUAAUAAUGCAGAAAGAAGGCGAGACAGCAUGGUUAGGCUCAGAAAUGUCAUCAAUGGCUGCAUGACAGCCACCUCCCAGCCCACCUGGGUCCCAUGCUGUGUGAGGAGAGAAAGGUCCCUGCUAACAUAGAGUGUACCUGCUCUGUUCACCCUCAUAGUGACAGAGAUCGGGAAUGUGCCUCUAAAUAGGUAGCCAGAUGUCCACAAGAGGGAGAGAUUUCCCUCAAAGUUAUUGUAGGUUGGUUCAGAGUAAUUCUGAUUCCACCUGAGUUUCUCCCCUGAUCACCAUUCAUCAUCUAUUCAAAAAUGAUCAAAGGGCAGUUAAAUUUUUGGUGAAAUUCUUAUGGGGGAGGUGCACUGUUUUUGUUGUGCUUACUUUAUUUCUGAGGUGGCCGAGAGGAGUUUAUGAAAAGAAACAUGUAUUUUCUUACAUUCUAUAAAUCAUCUUUAUUCUGUGGUCUGCAAUCUGUACCCUUCUCAGGUGCUCAUGUUCCACAAUGCAGACAACAUUGUGAGAAACUCCUCCAAUGGUUUUUCUUUUUCUUUUCUUAGAUCGGGGCUCACAGGCAGCCAGGGAGGCUGCAGAGAGCUGGAAAAUGUUUACCAGAAAGAAAGAAAAACACACCACCCUUGGCCAUGUUACAACAAUAAAGUAAGCUUAUCCAGGCUUUUGUGAUUAAGAUAGCCUCUACUAUGGAACACAUCUUUUCCUGGGGUUAGUCUGGACCUGGCCUGCUUAUUGUAUUUCUGGAUAAGCA
rnacentral:lncRNA from 1 species